CAAAUACUUCUUCCGUCCCAAAAUUUUGUUUCUUAUAUUUGUCUAAAUACAAAUGUAUCUAAUUAAGUUUUAGUUUUAUAUAUAUUCGUAUCUAGACAAAUCUAAGAUAAGAGUUUUGGAACGGAUGUAGUAUUUA
rnacentral:pre_miRNA from 1 species